GUUAUCACCACAAUAACGCAUGAAAAUAAUCAUCAUGCAGGGCAGUGCGAAAAAGAUGUACACUACUAAAUUGCUACAGUUAAAACUGGAGUGUUUGUGAAGCAGAAAGGAAAAACAGGAAUGAUAACCAAACACAAAUUAUCAGACACAAAUGCAGCACCAUGAGUAAUUUUAACAUUUCAACAUUUAAGCAGAGGGUAAUUUUGUAAAAGCUCAUCCUAUCCCAUUCCUUCUUCCUUCUCCCUUUUUCUUCACGUUUUCUCUCUCUCAAACCAGCAAGACUUCACAUCACCGACGACCCCUUCUUCUCCCUCACACCGCCGGAAUCUGUUCGGAUCACUACCGUCCUCACCAACAUCAAAUCAUCACUGAGAAAAUAGAUCUGUUCAAAACUCCGACGAGAACUGAGCUUGGAUCCGUCCUCGCCACCGCAGAUCCGAUCAUAACACGUUUACAGGACUGAAAGAAGAAAAGACGGCAGCAGUGACGACGGCGGUGAUUAGUGAGAGAAGUUACAACGGCGGCGGUGGCUGGAGAACCGGCGUUGAACAUAGAGAAGGAUGGCCGAGAGAGAUGGUGAGAAAAUUUAAAAAAAAAUAAUGAAAAAGAUGUAUAAAACUAGAGUGACAUAUGGCGUCUGUAUUGUGUUUGGUUUUUUGUGUUCAUUUAUCAUUCCUGGAGGAAAAAAACUACUGUGAACUACUGCGCAUUUCAUAGUUAUCAAGGAGGCGUGAAAAUAUUGUAUGUGGCUUUUAUUUCUUUGGCAACAGUUAAGGAGUCGGAAAGGGAAUAGCCAGAAAGUGCUCAAGCACGUCUCAUUUAUACAUGAAAAAAGGAUUAUCUUGUGACCUGCUUUCCAUGGUUGGAAAUUAAAAAAACACGGAUCUAUGGUUUAACCAAAAACACAGUGAAUCAUGCCUGAUGUUCUUGACGUUAAGUUUGUCUGGUAUCAUGCAAUGCCCAUUACUUGCAUUGCAAUAUUACGAAACUAAUUCUGCCAUAUAUCAUUGAUAUCUUGCUCAAUGAUUUUUCUCCACAAUCCUAAUACCUAAUGCGUAAUGUACUUUACUUGAUUCAAAUAUGUUGUUUUUCGCUCUGUACUUUUAGCCAGCAUGUAGAAAGAUA
rnacentral:lncRNA from 1 species